GCCAGCAUGGUCUAGAGGUCUGAGUGCUGGACUACAACUCUAGAGACCAAGGUUCGAUUCCCAGCUCAGCCA